rnacentral:rRNA from 1 species
CUUGUCCUACGGGGGGCAGCAGUAGGGAAUCUUCCACAAUGGACGAAAGUCUGAUGGAGCAACGCCGCGUGAGUGAAGAAGGGUUUCGGCUCGGAAAGCUCUGUUGGUAGUGAAGAAAGAUAGAGGGAGUAACUGGCCUUUAUUUGACGGGAAUUACUUAGAAAGUCACGGCUAACUACGUGCCAGCAGCCGCGGGAAUACGUAGGUGGCAAGCGUUGUCCGGAGUUAUUGGGCGUAAAGCGAGUGCAGGCGGGGCAAAAAGUGUGAUG